CUGCGGCUUCAUUCUUGAAGUCGGUGAGACCAAGAACCCACCAAUUCCGGACACAACUUCACUCCUGCCUGGGUAACAAAGGACUUUCCUGUCUUUAGACAGUUUCACAAAGUGGUGGAUGUAAGGGUCGUGCCAGCAGCCCAUCCUUACUGCAAGCCUGGAAGGGAGGAAAAAAGAGGAAGGUGCUGUCCUCUUACUCCCCUUACAGAGGUCAGAGUGGGGAAACCAGGAACGAAUGAACAAUACGUGUACAACUUGGGAAAUGCCAUGGGAGCCUUAAUUGCUCUAUUCUGGUCUACAGUGCAAGGAGUUAAGGCUUCGUGUUUCAAGGCUGGGAGCUGAAACCCUGAUUAGCACAGGAAGCCUUGUUGCAACCAUGAGUAGAACCAGCUUUAGGACGACUGAGGAGUCAUGAAAAGAACCUGGAUCCCGAAGGCCAUGCUCAGCUGCUCUGGGCCUGUGGACUGCUCUAGCUCUGAACGUAUAUUUU